GAUGAACGCUGGCGGCGUGCCUAAUACAUGCAAGUCGAGCGAACAGAUGAGGAGCUUGCUCCUCUGACGUUAGCGGCGGACGGGUGAGUAACACGUGGAUAACCUACCUAUAAGACUGGGAUAACUUCGGGAAACCGGAGCUAAUACCGGAUAAUAUAUUGAACCGCAUGGUUCAAUAGUGAAAGACGGUUUUGCUGUCACUUAUAGAUGGAUCCGCGCCGCAUUAGCUAGUUGGUAAGGUAACGGCUUACCAAGGCAACGAUGCGUAGCCGACCUGAGAGGGUGAUCGGCCACACUGGAACUGAGACACGGUCCAGACUCCUACGGGAGGCAGCAGUAGGGAAUCUUCCGCAAUGGGCGAAAGCUUGACGGAGCAACGCCGCGUGAGUGAUGAAGGUCUUCGGAUCGUAAAACUCUGUUAUUAGGGAAGAAUAAAUGUGUAAGUAACUAUGCACGUCUUGACGGUACCUAAUCAGAAAGCCACGGCUAACUACGUG
rnacentral:rRNA from 1 species